rnacentral:rRNA from 1 species
ACGAAGUAGCAAUACUUAGUGGCAGACGGGUGAGUAACAUGUAGGUAUCUGCCCUUUGGCCUGGAAUAACACGAGGAAACUUGUGCUAAUACCGGAUAAGUCUUUACGGAGAAAGCUUUAUGCACCAUUGGAUGAGCCUGCACUUGAUUAGUUUGUUGGUGGGGUAAUGGCCUACCAAGACUGUGAUCAAUAGCUGAUUUGAGAGGAUGAUCAGCCACAUUGGGACUGAGACACGGCCCAAACUCCUACGGGAGGCAGCAGUGGGGAAUCUUGCACAAUGGAGGAAACUCUGAUGCAGCGAUGCCGCGUGAGUGAAGAAGGCCCUUGGGUUGUAAAGCUCUUUCGUCGGGGAAGAAAAUGACUGUACCCGAAUAAGAAGGUCCGGCUAACUUCGUGCCAGCAGCCGCGGUAAUACGAAGGGACCUAGCGUAGUUCGGAAUUACUGGGCUUAAAGAGUUCGUAGGUGGUUGAAAAAAGUUAGUGGUGAAAUCCCAGAGCUUAACUCUGGAACUGCCAUUAAAACUUUUCAGCUNGAGUAUGAUAGAGGAAAGCAAAAUUUCUAGUGGAGAGGGGAAAUUCGUAAAUAUUAAAAAGAAUACCAUUUGCGAAGGCAGCUUUUUGGAUCUUUACUGACCCUGAGGAACCAAAACCUUGGUUAGCGAAAAGGAAAAAAAUACCCUCGAUAAUCCAGGCCCGAAA